ACUUUACAAUGCGGGAAACCGUGAUAAGGGAACCCCGAGUGCCCGUAAAUUCGGGCUGUCCAUCAGCGUAAAUAACUGGUGAAGAAAGGGCCGGGCAAGACCGGUGCCAGCCGCCGCGGUAAUACCGGCGGCUCGAGUGGUGGCCACUAUUAUUGGGCUUAAAGCGUCCGUAGCUUGGUUGUUAAGUCUCUUGGGAAAUCUACCGGCUCAACCGGUAGGCGUUCAGGAGAUACUGGCAAUCUAGGGACCGGGAGAGGUGAGAGGUACUCCAGGGGUAGGAGUGAAAUCCUGUAAUCCUUGGGGGACCACCUGUGGCGAAGGCGUCUCACUAGAACGGCUCCGACAGUGAGGGACGAAAGCUGGGGGAGCAAACCGGAUUAGAUACCCGGGUAGUCCCAGCUGUAAACGAUGCGCGUUAGGUGUAUCGGUGACCACGAGUCACCGAGGUGCCGAAGGGAAACCGUGAAACGUGCCGCCUGGGAAGUACGGUCGCAAGGCUGAAACUUAA
rnacentral:rRNA from 1 species